rnacentral:rRNA from 1 species
GACGAACGCUGGCGGCGUGCUUAACACAUGCAAGUCGAACGGAAAGGCCCUGCUUUUGUGGGGUGCUCGAGUGGCGAACGGGUGAGUAACACGUGAGUAACCUGCCCUUGACUUUGGGAUAACUUCAGGAAACUGGGGCUAAUACCGGAUAGGAGCUCCUGCUGCAUGGUGGGGGUUGGAAAGUUUCGGCGGUUGGGGAUGGACUCGCGGCUUAUCAGCUUGUUGGUGGGGUAGUGGCUUACCAAGGCUUUGACGGGUAGCCGGCCUGAGAGGGUGACCGGCCACAUUGGGACUGAGAUACGGCCCAGACUCCUACGGGAGGCAGCAGUGGGAAAUAUUGCACAAUGGGCGGAAGCCUGAUGCAGCAGCGCCGCGUGCGGAAUGACGGCCUUCGGGUUGUAAACCGCUUUCGCCUGUGACGAAGCGUGAGUGACGGUAAUGGGUAAAGAAGCACCGGCUAACUACGUG